CCGUCACCAAGCUGGGGUUUGUUUUUAGGCCUGUACCAGUAAAUCCCAGCUACAGUACCAGCAAAUGAACUGAGAAUUCAGCAGCUGACAAUGUAACUGUGGAACAGGAUCCCACUGCAGAGAACUCAGGAACUGGCUAGGAAUUAGACCUGCACUUCCUCCUUCUUUGACAUGACUAGCCUGGGAGGGGAAAAAAACCCAAACAAAUAAUUAUAUUUAACUUGCAAGAAGCAUUUUUCUCAUCAAGAUGGUGUUGACUGACUUCCUCGCUGCCAGUUUCUCAGUGGCUGGGGAGCAAAGGAAGCCCCUGCACCUGCCUCAAUAGAGCACAUUCCCUCAGCCUCUACUCAGUGGAAGCACAGCCUGUUACAGUCACAGGCAUUAAGACCCACUACUUGAAGGAGCAUCUUAUAGGCUGUUUCAAAGCACUGAUUCAACUCAGAAAGUCACUUCUGCCAUGGAGAAACUGACAGCCUACAGCAACAAAAGGAUAAGGAACAGCCACCAUCCAAGUUCCCACUGAAGUCAAGAGAGUUAAAGCUUGUCCGUUGAAUUAAACACAUACCUGCAUCCCGUUAAACUGAUUAUUUUGACACUAACCACGUUAUAAACACACACACACUUUACUGCAUGAUGUGUGAUUGUGGUCAGGACAUCAGAGGUCACUUAAGGUCAAAGAAACGUGCUUUAUAUGUAGCAUACAAAUGCCUAACAAUUUUAGACACUAAUCCAAGUUUUCUAAGCACGCAUAUUAGGUGAAUAAACUCAUUUCUAAAAUGUCAUUAAAGGUAAAUACAGGUAUCUACAUUUUACUCUUCCUCCUAGCAUUAUAUUCACAAAAUAAUCAAAACAUGUCUAAUCCAGAAUAUUAGAGAAUCUUACACAAUAAAGUACUAAGCAGAAGUUCUUUUCACAGAAUCAUCAGAAAUGUGCUCCUGACCUGUU